UUAGGUGUCUCUCGGGCUGACUUUUGAAGGUCUGGAGCUGGCCGUUUAUGAGGGUUUAUAAGGGUUUUAAGCGCUCCGGCCAUGGGCACCAACCCGAUCUUCCAGCCCCUGCGGACGGACUGCCCCCCCCCCGCCCCGGGGGGAUUGGCUGCUCUGGGACCCCGAGCCCAGAGGGCAGUGAGAAGCUGACAAACCUUAAAUACAGACCAGAAGAGGAGUUUGGGGCUUGACACCUGACAUCUUAACACCAGUUCCUGUUUCUUGAGGAAGGAAGAGGUAAAAUAAAUCAGCGUUUACUGUGUAGUUCUCCAUCCCCAGAAGUCCUGAUGAAGACCCUCUCAGCUUCUACUUGAACGUGAAUAUGAGCAACUGAUCAUCUGUUCUGAAGUCAGCCCCUGGCCUGAUUCUGACUCAUGGUAUUGACCUUCUCCAUCAUCACCUUCCACAAAUUUGAUUCCUAUCUAUUCUGCCUGGAAUGGUUCACGAGUAUAAUCACCAUUUAUGUUCCUGACGAAAGCAGGUGAAGACAUUCGUUGAGAGAGGCAAUUUCCAUGCGUGCAGGCAAAGUGUGUGCUGAGAUGAUGAGUUGCUGGAGACCAGGGUGGACUCUUCAGACCCAGAAUAGGCCUCUGGCAGGCAUUCUAUCAGGCACUCCAAGCUGUGAAGUGCAUGGGGGGAGAAAGAAGAGAUUUCAGAGAAUGAACACAUACAGAGAGAGAGGCAAGAGAUGCUUAAAUACAGACCAGAAGAGGAGUUUGGGGCUUGACACCUGACAUCUUAACACCAGUUCCUGUUUCUUGAGGAAGGAAGAGGUAAAAUAAAUCAGCGUUUACUGUGUAGUUCUCCAUCCCCAGAAGUCCUGAUGAAGACCCUCUCAGCUUCUACUUGAACGUGAAUAUGAGCAACUGAUCAUCUGUUCUGAAGUCAGCCCCUGGCCUGAUUCUGACUCAUGGUAUUGACCUUCUCCAUCAUCACCUUCCACAAAUUUGAUUCCUAUCUAUUCUGCCUGGAAUGGUUCACGAGUAUAAUCACCAUUUAUGUUCCUGACGAAAGCAGGUGAAGACAUUCGUUGAGAGAGGCAAUUUCCAUGCGUGCAGGCAAAGUGUGUGCUGAGAUGAUGAGUUGCUGGAGACCAGGGUGGACUCUUCAGACCCAGAAUAGGCCUCUGGCAGGCAUUCUAUCAGGCACUCCAAGCUGUGAAGUGCAUGGGGGGAGAAAGAAGAGAUUUCAGAGAAUGAACACAUACAGAGAGAGAGGCAAGAGAUGGUGAGUGGGGAUGUCUUGCAUACUGAUAUCCUGAGGAAAGUGGGAAAAUUGGACCCUGGCUUGCUCUGCCAAUGCCGUGAAGCAGUCCGCACCAGGGGCUCCCUUGUGCCUGCAUAGCCUUUCCCAGGGUGUGCUCAAAUCCUUUGGCCACUAGGUGUCCUAGGUCACAAUGGAGGACCCUGUGUCAUCUGCCUGGUGGACUGGAUCUCUGCCAUUGGCUAAGUCUUGUCACCAGGCCCAUCAUAAGCUCUGCCCACUCUUCCGGUGGGGAGACUCUCUCCAUGGUGAUGGCAAAGAAACCUUAGUCCCGCCCACCUGGCCUUGACUUCACCUACCUGGCCUGCUGACCCUCACCCAGACCUCUGUGUGGAUGAAAAUGAAUGUCCACCAGUGGCCCAGUGUCAGCGUCUGGUAUAAAGGAUUCGGGACGUUUCCUGAGGCAGAAGGCAGCCUACGUCUGCGGGUACCUGGAAGUCUAGUGACUUGUGAUGCUGCUGCCAGUGAGAAAUGGUGACUCCCACACUCACAUAUCCCCUGGUGGCAGAAUGAUAGUGAUGGGUGGAGAAACAUGGCUCCGGAGCACAUGUUCAGUGGGGCACCGGCCAAAUGUCAGGGCCAGGAGUGGACGUCGUGGAGCUGCAUGGCGUGCCAGUGAAGGGCCCAAGGAUUUCUCCAAUGAGGCAAAAUGCAGAUCAAGCCAAGGAACACAAAGAUAAAGCAGCUGAAGAAAUUAAAAAGGUUACUCAAGAACAUAGUUAAAAAUUUAAUAAGCUGCAAGAAACCAUAGAGAGACUGCAAUCAGAGAUUCAGAAGAUUAACAAUAAAAUUACAGAGUCAGAAAACUCAAUAGAAAGUAAUAAGAGCACAAUUGAGGAAUUGGAAGGCAGAAUUACUGAGAUGGAAGAUCAAACUCUUGGGACUAAUAUAUUUGAAGAGAAAGCAGAUAAAAGAAUUUUAAAUGAAGAAAUCCAAAGAAUCAUGUGGGACUUUAUCAAGAGAAAUAACUAUGAGUGAUUUCAGUACCAGAACAGGGAGGGCUAACAGAAAAUACAGAGGGAACUGUUGAAGAUUUGUUGGCAGAACUUCCCUGAUAUCAUGAAAGAUGCUCAUCGAAUUCCACAUACGGUAGAUCUCAAAAGAAAGUGACCGAGACACAUAAUAAUCAAACUUGCCAAAAUCAAAUAUAAAGAGAAUUUUAAGAGAGGCUAGGGAUAAAGGAAGUCACCAACAAAGGAGAGUAAAUAAUAAAAAACUUGGACUACUCAGCAGAAAUCAUGCAGGCAAGAAGGCAAAGGGAUGACUUACACAAAAUAUUGAAGGAAAAAAAUUGCCAGCCAGGAAUCAAACCAUAACCCUGGCCCUCUGGCCUUCGGGCCCUCUGGCCUUAGCCCUCUAACUCUAGCCCCUAAGCCCUGAGCCCCAAAGCCCCUAAGACCCUAAGCCCUUAGGUCCUAACCCCCAAGGCCCUAAACUCUAACCCUAACCCAAACCCUAACCCCUAUUCCCUAAACUCUACAACCUAAACACCUACACCCCAAAACACUACACAUCAAAACCCUACACACUAAACCCUAUACUCUAAGCCUCAAACCCUAAACCCAAACCUCAAAUCCCAAACCCCAAACCCUAAACCUAACCGUAAACCCUAAACCCUAACACCUAACCCUAACCCCUAACCACCCUAACCCUAAUGACCCUAACCCUCGAACCCUAACCCUCUAACGCUAACAUGAAACCCUAAUCCGAAACCCUAACCCUCUAACUCUAACCUCUAACCCUAACCCUCUAACCCUAGCCCUAAUCCUAACCCCAACCUCCAAACCUAACCCCAAACCCUAAACCUCAAAUCCCUAGCCCUAAACCUAAGAAUGAGCCUAAGCCUAACCCUAUCACUUAACUCUAAACCCUAAACCAUAACACUUAAAACCCUAACACCCUUAGCCCUAACACAUUUAACCCUAACACCCUAAACGCCAAAACCCUAAACACUAACACCCUUAACUCCAACCCCUAACCCCUAAACCCUAAGCUUAAACACUAAACCGUCUAACCCUCUAACCCUAAUACCCUAAACCCUAACCCCAGCCCCCAGCCUUAACGCUCACUCUAAGCCUUAAACCUUAAGCCCUAAACCCUAGGCUCUAAGCCCUAAGCCCUAAACUCUAAAUCCUAAAACCCUAAACUCUAAGCCCUAAGCCUAACCCUCUAAUCCUAAACCCUAAAACCUUACCCCAAACCCAUCCCAAACCCCUAAACCUGAACCCCUAAGCCCUAGCCCUAACCCUAAUCCUCUAAGCCUAACCCUCUAACCCUAACUCUCUAACCCUAACCACAACACCAACCCCAACCUCUGAACCCAAAAACCCUAACCCCCUAACCCCAAGCUUCUGAACCCUAAGCCUAAACCCUCUAACCCUAAAUCCUAACCUUCACCCCCUCACACCCUCACCUUCUCACUCCCUCACUCUAUAAUCUUCUCAACUUCUAACCCCCUCACCCUCUAACCCCUCACCCUCUAACUCCCUCAAUCUCUAACCCCCAACCCUCUAGACCCCAACCCUCUAACACCCACCCUCUAACCCCAAACCACAUAUCCCAAACAGACCCAACACCAACCCCAACCCUAAACCUAAACCCUGACCCCUAAAACCUAAACCAAACCCUAACGACUAAACCCCAAAACCCUAAACCCCAAACUGCAACCCCUAACACCUAACCUUAACUCCAAACUCUAACCUCAAACCCUAAACCUAACCCUAACACCUAACCCCAACCAAAAAACCCUAACCCUAAACUCUAACCCCAAACCCUAACGACCCUAACUCUAACAACCCUAACCUUAACAUCCCUAAGCCCAAACCCUAACCCUUUUUGUUAGCAGCCAUAGCACUUAACCACUAGCCACCAGGGUUUCCAUGAGCAGUCACAGGAAUAGACACAUGCACACCCGUGUUCACUGCAACAUUAUUCACAGUUGCAAAAAGAUGGAAACAACCUAAGUGCUCGUCCACAGAGGAAUGGAUAAACAAACUACGGUACAUACACAGUGGAACACUACACGACAAUAAAGACCAAUGAUGAAUCUCCGAAACAUCUCACACCAUGGAUGAAUCUGGGGCGCAUCACACUAAGUCAAUCACAAAACGUCAUAUACAGUAAGAGACCACUAUCAUAAAAACUCAUGAAAACAUUUACGCACAGAAACAAUCCUUGAUGUUCACCAGGGAGACGAAGAGCGGGUAGAGAAAAGCCAACUAAACAAUAACCAAAAAAACCAAACCCACUGCUGUCGAGUUGAUUCCAGCUCAUAGCGACCCUACAGGACAGAUUAGAACUGCCCCCAUAGAGUUUCCAAGGAGUGCUUGGUGGAUUCGAACUGCAGACCUUUGGUUAGCACCGGUGGCUCUUAACCACUACGCCACCAGGGUUUCCAACCAAACAACAGAUCGGUGGUAACUCUGGCGAAGGAAAGACGGUACACAAGACUGGGGAAUCAAUCUCAGCCUCACUCUAACCCUAACCCUAAACCACUUGUGCCCGAGCCUAGUAACCCCAGCCCUAACCCCAACCCCCAACCACCUAAAACCUGUACCCCUAAACCUAACUCCCAAACCUCUAACCCCCAAACCUGGACCCCUAACACCAAACCCUAACCCCUAACCCUAAUCCUCUAACCCUUCUGCAUCUCUGGGCCUCUCGACUCUCCGUCUAUUUUCUUCCUCCAAAUCCUACUAACACUCAGUGGAAUUUUGAAGUUUGAGCUGUGCUUUGCUUCUUGUUGUCUCCACCGGUCCCAUCAAGGCACUGCAUCAUUUGCUCUGCUUCACUAUUCAGUUCCAAAACCAUGGCUUAGAAUCGCCUGACACUGGACUUCAGCGAUUCGGUGCAAGGCCGCGAGAGGGCGCGCGCACCGCCGGUUCUGUUCUGCCCACCAGGCCCUCUGAGCAUGGGAACCUCCUGGACCUAAGCCCGGACGACCUGGGUACCGCUCCAGUGGCGACAGCAGAAGCUUUUCUUCCCGAGGGACCCAACGCCCCAGGGCGCUCUCUCAAUACUCCCGUUAAUGCUAUGAUUAUCCUAACCCACUCCUUCUGUGCGACCUAGUGGGUCCUCUACCAGGUCCAGCCUUCACGACCCGCACCCCCCUGCCGUGGUCAUGUACAGGAACCUGCAGGGCCGCGCCCUCCCCGCCCAAGCUCUGCCCCUCCAUACCCUGAUGCCCUGCAGGCCUCUACUAGGUACCCGCCCAGGGGAGAGUUGUCGCCCCGCACGGGUCGGGGGACACGAGGGAACAUUCGGAAACCACCCCCAGGCACGAAGCCGACUGCCGGAUUGCCGGUAUUGAGACCAUGUGAGCAGGGCUGCCCCGCCAACUGGAGCCUGCAGGACAUCACUCACGUUUGUCAGCUUCUCACCGCCCUCUGGGCUCCGGGUCCCAGAGCAGCCAAUCCCCCGGGGGGGGAGGGGGGGCGGUCCGUCCGCAGGUGCUGGAAGAUCGGGUUGGUGCCCAUGGCCGGAGCGCUUAAAACCCUUAGAAACCCUCAUAAACCGUCAGCUCCAGACUUUCAAAUGUCAGCCUGAGAGACACCUAAUCUCCAACCUAAAAAAAAAAAACAAAACACACCCGUUGCCAUCGAGUCAAUUCUGACUCAUAGCGACGCUAUAGGACAGAGUAGAACUGCCCCACAGUUUCCAGGGAGCGCCUGGUGGAUUCAAACUGCCAACCUUUUGGCUAGCAGCCUUAGCACGUAACCACUACGCCACCAGGGUAACCCACUAAACCUACUGCCACCAGGGUAGAGGCUCCAAAUCCCGCCAGUGUGAGGAACCCUCAAAUCCCCUCAGCACCAGAGACCGCGUCCACAGCGACCGGUACACAGCGCCGCACAAACGUUUAAGUUAACAAACAACAUGGUUGCUCAGGACCCCUUCCUGCUACCCCACCCCUGCCACGCAGAGGGGGAGCGGGACCCGGCAUCCACACUGUUAACAGACACUGAAUCGCUGCUGCAUCCACAAGGAGUAGGAUCCCCGCGCUGCUCCACAGAU